rnacentral:rRNA from 1 species
AUGGCCUGUGCCGCCUACAGUAUCAGGGGCCAUCUCAAGCUUGCCGCGGGGCAUGGCCUGGCCAGUAAUCACCUGCGCGGCGGCUGGAAGCCUUCGGCGUCUUGCCCUGUUUCUCGGGCAUGGAGUAGCAAUGUCUCCAGUAAUGCAGUGCAGCACGUCGCCCGCCAUUCUCAUUUGACUGUCCGGAAUUCAGAAAGAUGGCGCUCGAUCCCGAAAGCUUCGCCGGAGGACGGGAUCGCCGUUGCUGAAGGGGUGAUGACUGUACUCGUCAUUGGCGGUGGAGGAAGGGAGCAUGCGCUUUGUUAUGCUUUGACCCGUUCGCCUUCUUGCCAGACAGUUUUAUGUGCCCCUGGUAAUGCUGGCAUUGCUCAAUCCAGAGACGCGGUUUGUAUAUCGGACUUGGACAUUUCUAGCAGUGAUGCUGUUAUAUCGUUCUGCCGCAAGAGGGGAGUGGGAAUGGUGGUAGUGGGUCCUGAAGGUCCUCUUGUUGCGGGUCUUGCGAAUGACCUUGUCAAAGCUGGGAUACCGACCUUUGGUCCGUCGUCCGAGGCUGCAGCAUUAGAAGGAUCAAAGGACUUUAUGAAGAGGUUGUGUGAUAAGUAUAAUAUCCCCACUGCUCAGUAUCGCACAUUCACGGAUCCUGCAAAAGCUAAAGAGUACAUCAAGGAUCAAGGGGCCCCUAUUGUUGUCAAAGCUGAUGGAUUGGCAGCUGGAAAAGGCGUCGUUGUUGCUAUGGCUUUGGAUGAGGCCUUCGAAGCAAUAGACUCUAUGAUGGUUGACGAGUCAUUUGGUUCUGCUGGUUCGCGGGUCGUCAUUGAGGAGUAUCUGGAGGGCGAAGAAGCCUCUUUCUUUGCAUUAGUAGAUGGUGAAAAUGCUUUGCCACUUGAAUCAGCACAGGAUCACAAAAGAGUUGGUGAUGGUGAUACUGGCCCAAACACGGGUGGUAUGGGUGCAUACUCCCCUGCGCCAAUAGUGACCGAAGAGCUUAAGAGCGUGAUCAUGGAAACUAUAAUUACUCCAACUGUUAAAGGUAUGGCUGCUGAAGGAUGCAAGUUUGUUGGUGUAUUAUAUGCCGGGCUUAUGAUUGAGAAGAAAUCUGGUCUGCCUAAACUUAUUGAAUAUAAUGUGCGAUUUGGGGAUCCUGAAUGCCAGGUUCUGAUGAUGAGAUUGGAGUCUGAUCUUGCACAGGUCCUGCUAUCUGCAUGCAGAGGAGAACUGGGUAAGGUUUCGCUAACCUGGUCACCUGAAAUCGCGAUGGUGGUUGUGAUGGCGAGCGAAGGAUACCCUAGCUCUUAUAAGAAGGGCACCGUAAUAAAAAACAUCGACAAGGCCGAGCAGGUUUCUCCUGCUGUCAAGAUAUUCCAUGCUGGGACAGCUUUGGCUGGAGACGGCAACCUUGUAGCUGUCGGAGGCCGGGUUCUUGGCGUCACUGCGAAGGGCAAGGACAUCGAGGAAGCGAGGUCGAGAGUGUACGAUGCGGUAGAUGUCGUCGACUGGCCGGAAGGAUUCUUCAGGCGAGAUAUCGGCUGGAGGGCACUGAAGCAGGAGCAGACGGCUAACUACUGA